UUUUUGUUUAAUUAAACAAAUGGAACAAUUGUCACAAAAGUAUUUUGCUAGAGACUUCUAACAGACAACUAUCUGCUAACUUAACAAAUAGGUUCUUACAUUUACUAGCACUGUUGGGUUGCGUUUCAUAUUACAGCUCAUUUUGGUAGAUCUUUGUUCUAGAUCCUUUUGAGGUCUGUGUUACUGUCAAGAGCCAAGAGCUCUGACAGCUGUUGCCAGCUCUGGGUGGUUUGUUUAAAACAAUAAGGGAGUCGCUUAGCAACAUCACAUCACAUAUUUGGUACCCUACAGUAUCUCACAUUCCUAACUACUCUGCACAUCCUCAUGACUUAAAGGGCCACUGUCAAGUUAAUAACCAUACCCAAACGUGUACUUACAUCUCUGUCUCCCCGUAAUGAGAUAUAUGAGAUUCAGACUCUCAAUCCAUUUAAUGACCAGAGGAAUUUGGAUCCGGGCAUGUGGUUCAAAGCAAUCUCACUUUAACAGAGGGAGGAAGGAGGAAAUCCAAAUUCUACUAUCAACCCAAAGAACUGGAUGUUGCAGAGGGCCUUCUGAAACACAUAUCCAGAACACUGAAUAUUUUCCUGCUGCUAAUUGGACGAGGCCUCCUGAACUAUCUACCCUUCUCUCUUCUACAGGAUUUUCCAAUGCUCUUUUGAACAUGGUAGAACAACUCACCCCCCCAAAUUCUUUUUUGUUCCCCCUCCAUAGAGUGAAAUAAGAAAGUAAAAUAAACAAUCAAAAAAAAAAAAAGAAACA
rnacentral:lncRNA from 1 species